rnacentral:rRNA from 1 species
GAAAUGCCGUCGGAAACCGGGAGGACCAUCUCCCAAGGCUAAAUACUCCCUAGUGACCGAUAGUGAACCAGUACCGUGAGGGAAAGGUGAAAAGCACCCCGGAAGGGGAGUGAAAGAGAUCCUGAAACCGUGUGCUUACAAGGAGUUAGAGCCCGUUUAUGGGUGAUAGCGUGCCUUUUGCAGAAUGAACCGGCGAGUUGCGCUGGCUGGCGAGGUUAAGUCUGAAAAGACGGAGCCGCAGCGAAAGCGAGUCUGAAAUGGGCGUUGAGUCAGACGGCGCAGACCCGAAACCAGGUGAUCUACCCAUGUCCAGGUUGAAGGUGCGGUAAAACGCACUGGAGGACCGAACCCACGUACGUUGAAAAGUGCGGGGAUGAGAUGUGGGUAGCGGAGAAAUUCCAAACGAACUUGGAGAUAGCUGGUUCUCUCCGAAAUAGCUUUAGGGCUAGCGUCAAGGAAGCAAUGAUGGAGGUAGAGCACUGUUUGGACGAGGGGCCCGUCUUGGGUUACCGAAUCCAGAUAAACUCCGAAUGCCAUUGAUUGCCCCUUGGCAGUCAGACGGUGAGUGAUAAGAUCCAUCGUCGAAAGGGAAACAGCCCAGACCACCAGCUAAGGCCCCUAAAUGUAUGUUAAGUGGAAAAGGAGGUGGGGUUGCUUAGACAACUAGGAUGUUGGCUUAGAAGCAGCCAUCAUUGAAAGAGUGCGUAAUAGCUCACUAGUCGAGUGACCCUGCGCCGAAAAUGUACCGGGGCUAAACAUACUGCCGAAGCUGUGGAAAACACCUUAGGUGUUUUGGUAGGAGAGCGUUCUAAGGGCGGUGAAGGUCGACUGAAAAGACGGCUGGAGCGCUUAGAAGUGAGAAUGCCGGUAUGAGUAGCGAAAGACAGGUGAGAAUCCUGUCCACCGUAAGACGAAGGUUUCCUGGGGAAGGCUCGUCCGCCCAGGGUUAGUCGGGACCUAAGCUGAGGCCGAAAGGCGUAAGCGAUGGCCAACAGGUUGAUAUUCCUGUACCUGUUAUCUUCAUUUGAGUGAUGGAGGGACGCAGGAGGCAAAAGAAAGCAGACGAAUGGAAAGGUCUGUCCAAGCAGUGCAUCGGAGAAAGAGUGAAAGGCUUUUUCUUGUCAACGAUAAGCUGUGACGGGGAGGGAAAUUGAAGUACCGAAGUUCUGGCGUCACACUGCCAAGAAAAACUUCUAGCAAGAAGGUAAUGGCCCGUACCGCAAACCGACACAGGUCGUCGAGGAGAGUAUCCUCAGGUGAGCGAGCGAACUCUCGUUAAGGAACUCGGCAAAAUGACCCCGUAACUUCGGGAGAAGGGGUGCUGCUCUAACGAGCAGCCGCAGUGAAUAGGCCCAAGCGACUGUUUAUCAAAAACACAGGUCUCUGCAAAAUCGUAAGAUGACGUAUAGGGGCUGACGCCUGCCCGGUGCUGGAAGGUUAAGAGGAGUGCUUAGCGUAAGCGAAGGUACGAAUUGAAGCCCCAGUAAACGGCGGCCGUAACUAUAACGGUCCUAAGGUAGCGAAAUUCCUUGUCGGGUAAGUUCCGACCCGCACGAAAGGCGCAACGAUUUGGGCACUGUCUCAACGAGAGACUCGGUGAAAUUUUAGUACCUGUGAAAAUGCAGGUUACCCGCGACAGGACGGAAAGACCCCAUGGAGCUUUACUGUAAUUUGAUAUUGGGUGUCUGUGA